AACGCACAUUGCGCCCUUUGGUAUUCCGAAGGGCAUGCCUGUUCGAGCGUCAUUAUCAACCCUCAAGCCCGGCUUGGCGUUGGGUCGCGCCGGGGGUAAAACUCCGGUGGACCCCAAAGGUAAUGGCCGAGCCCGUGUGGACCCUGGAUGCAGCGAGCUUUCUGGCACGUGUCGCGGUGGUCCUCCGGCUCGGUCUCGGACAAAAAAGAAAAUUUUCUUCAAAAACUGGUUGACCUCGGAUCAGGUAGGGAUACCCGCUGAACUUAA
rnacentral:misc_RNA from 1 species